GGUACACCACUGGAGUGAUGACGUUUGCCCGAUUACCGGCACGAUCAAGAUCGAGAAUUUCAACCAGAACAUUGGAGCUCUGUCAGUGAAGCUUUCGCCAGAAGAGAUGGCCAAGCUCAAAUCGAUUGCUUAUACGGACAAUGUCAGGCGUGAGAAUUAAAACCACAUUUGAUACUAAAUUAUGCCUAGGUAGGAAUUCAAAACUCCACCUCCCGCUUUUCAUGUGGGAAGGUUGGCCCCACCUCGCGCUUAUGGAAAGAGUAAUCACGAAGACAUCACAAUAGUUCAAUUGACGUGAGCAGGUACGUCUUCCCUACAUGGUAAGGGUCGUCACUGGGCGUGCAAUUGACGUAAGCACGUGCGUCUUCACAGCCACUACCGCUCCCCUCCUACUCAUCGUAGCUUCUGCCACUACCCUCCUAUAAAUCUCGGCUCGCCCGACGACUUCGCCAUCGUCUCGGUGCAGUGCAGGGAACGAUCGAGCUCGAGCUAGACUACGGCAAUGGCGGCAUCGACGACGACGGUGAGGAGGAUCAAGCUGGGGUCGCAGGGCCUGGAGGUGUCGGCGCAGGGGCUGGGCUGCAUGAGCAUGUCCGCCUUCUACGGCCCUCCCAAGUCCGAGCCCGACAUGAUCGCCCUCAUCCACCACGCCGUCGGCUCCGGCGUCACCUUCCUCGACACCUCCGACUUCUACGGUCCUCACACCAACGAAAUCCUCCUCGGAAAGGUCGUUCUCUCAGUCUCUCUUUUGCCUCUGCAUGAAUUAUAUAUGCUUAUGGUUUUACGGAACUUAGCUUCAUCGAGCAGGAUGCUCUGAUCCUGCGCCUUGGUUUUCUGAUUUCGGGGUUGAUUUUGAGCAGGCACUGAAGGGAGGGGUGAGGCAGAAGGUGGAAUUGGCGACCAAGUUCGGAAUCAGAUUGGCGGACGGGAAGAGGGAGAUCCAGGGCGAUCCGGCGUACGUGAGGGCUGCUUGCGAGGCCAGCUUGAAGCGGCUCGACAUCGAUUGCAUCGACCUCUACUACCAGCACCGUAUCGACACUCGCGUCCCCAUUGAAGUCACUGUAUGGAUCCCUUAUCAAACUUUCACCUCGCUUGAGACUUUCUCUGAGCCAUACGAUGCAUCGUCAUGUUGUUACAAGUUUGUUGAAUUUUGUUAAAUGACACUUAAGUUCAGCUGAUAGCAGAGUUCAAGAUGCGGCACGGUGUUGUUCAAGGGUUGUGGAAUUUAGUAGUUUAGUGGCUUGAGUUUUCGUUUUGUGGGAAUCUUUUACAAGUUAAGGGUCAACAAGCAUGGAAAUUAUUCGAAAUCUUCCUUUGAGAUGAAAGUGCUCCGGGGUUCAUCCUGAAUUUAUAUACGGGAAUCACAUAUAAAGUUGUUCCUGGACUUUAUACGGAGACAUUUGAUUCUUGACAUAUUGUGAAAUAUGACAAGUACUUGGAAUACUUCUUUUAUUUGCUCUCUUCUGUGAGAGAUUCAAGAAAUCUACCUCCGUUAACUCAAUUCCUUGUGGGUUUUUUGUCGCAUUGAGAUGCAUGAUAAUUGAGGGAUCUAGACACAAAAAGCUAAUGACAAAAAUAAUUUUCUGGAUCUUAACAUGUAAGAUCUUGAUGUUGUUGUUCUGUCAUGUGAAUAUGCACAGAUCGGAGAGCUAAAGAAGCUCGUUGAAGAGGGUAAGAUAAAGUACAUCGGUUUAUCCGAGGCCUCUGCAUCAACAAUCAGAAGAGCACAUGCUGUUCAUCCCAUCACAGCAGUGCAAUUGGAGUGGUCGCUUUGGUCCAGAGAUGUGGAGGCGGACAUCGUUCCAACGUGCAGGUAGGAUAUCACUCCGUUAAUUGUUUAUGCAGCAACAACAGCUUCCUUCUGACUCUGCUUUUCCUUUAAAAUGUUGACUAGGGAGCUUGGCAUUGGAAUUGUUGCCUACAGUCCUUUAGGACGAGGAUUCUUUUCUGUUGGCUCCAAGUUGGCGGAGAAUUUCUCAAAGGAUGACUUCAGACAGGUCUGUUUCUGCUGGUCGACAUAAUUAGAUGCUCACAGUGACUGUCAUUCUCAUUGAAGUGCUGGAAACCUGUUCUUGUGGUAUAAAGAAAAGUUUCUGGAUGGGAUGAAUAAAACUUGGUGACACAAAUGCAUCACGUUCUUAUAUGUCUUCAAUCCAGCACUCGCCAGACAUACUACCUCUCUCGAUUCUAGAUAAAUGUAAAAUCACAAGUAAUGGCUUUAGUGAGCCUGAAAGAGGUAGGUUCCCGGAUUCUCAUUCUUUUGGGAAUGAAUACAUAUAGGUUUAUAUGUAAGUUGCUCUGUUUCCCAGCCUUCCCAACAUUUGCUUAUCACUAUCCUUUCCCCACUUUCCACCCACCCUUUUUCUCUCAUCUUUCUUCACAAGAUUAGCGAUAUUUCCUCGAAAUAACUGACGCCAGUAUCGGGCUCUGGCCUUCCGUCCUUUUUCAUUCUCAUCUUUCUUCACAAGAUAAACUAUAUCUUGACACAACCAUUUCUUGAGUGAGGACUCACGACACCCUUCUUAUGAGAGUUUUGGAUCAAGUUCCCAUCUGACAUAAAGCCAAUUGUGUAUUACUCCCUGCCAUUAGCGUUUGACUAGCGAUAGCGCUGGGCAAGUGAAGUAGCUAUUUUUCUUUGUAGCUAAAAGAGCUCUGCGUCUGAUAACAUUCUUCUACACAUCAUCUACAUUUCUGAUUUUUUAUUUUAUGUGUGACUAAUGGUAUCAUCACACGUACAAAACUUAGAUUGUCGAGUUUGUUUCUGUUUUCACAUCCUACAUCAAGCCCAUCAGCCUUGUGUGGUAGUUGCUAGAUCACUUCGCUUGACGUUUCUAAUGCUUAUGAUUUGGGACAUGAUAUUUUAAUCAUUUCAAGAUUAUUUAUAACUGAUCAUGCUUAUCCAGAUAGACAACGAUUGCACACUUCUAAAUGCUUAUUAUGUCAAGUAACAAGACAAUCUGAUGGCAUGCAAUGCAACCACUUUUGCACUUGUUGCUGUAGAAUUUAGCCUUAAAAGGAAAAUGAUAAUUGCAAUUGCUUUCUGCUGAGACAUUGCUCUAUGUUAUGCAGUAUCAUCCAAGGUUCCAGCCAGAGAACUUGGCUCACAACACGAAGUUAUUUGACCGAGUGAAUGAAAUUGCGCAAAGAAAGGGAUGCACCCCAUCUCAGUUAGCCCUGGCCUGGGUACACCACCAUGGUGACGACAUUUGCCCGAUUCCCGGCACAACCAAGAUCGAGAAUUUCAACCAGAACAUUGGAGCUCUGUCAGUGAAGCUUACACAGGAAGAGAUGGCCGAGCUUGAAUUGAUUGCUUCUGCGGACAAUGUCAAGGGUGGCAGGUAUGAUGGAAGCAUAUCUACAUGGGAAAACUCCGACACUCCACCCCUUUCUUCUUGGAAACCUGCCUAGAAGCGUGUCUGCUUCUGUUGCUGCAUCUUUGAUGUGCAGAGUUUGAGCAUUUGCCGCUGAAGUAAUUUGAGUUGAUGUUGUGUGGCUGUUAUAAGUAUGUGUAAUAAGAGAGUGACUGUUUUCAUUUUGUACAUGUGACAUUCACUAUGAGAAGAUUAUGGAUGUGUACUAACCUUACUGGGGAAAGAUCACUCGAUAAACACGAGAGCGAGUUGAAUAUGAACUGAGCCUGCCUUGUCGACUUUAUGGGGUGACUUUUAGAAUCAAUUGGGAUUUUGAAGAAUUCAAACUCAGUCGUACAUACCGCUGGAAAUAUGGCUUCGAAAUUGGGUAGAACAAUGAAAUCGGAUCGAGUAAAAUAACUCGGACUUUGAGGCGCGAUAUCACUUUCUUUAAGGAUUUAUUUACCCCACAACGUUGCUAAUGGUCACCAGCAAAAAUCCUCCAGGAUACAACAAAGUCUCGGAUGAGAAUACUAGAUAGCAAUUCAAGUAUUUCUCCAGGGUCUCUCUAAGAAACAAUCGAAAAAUUGGAUGCUGUUUUUCAGAAAGGAAUACUCGAAAAUGACACUCUUUUUCUUUCCGAAAAUGAUAGAUAUAUAUAUGAAACAGUCUUGCNNNNNNNNNNNNNNNNNNNNNNNNNNNNNNNNNNNNNNNNNNNNNNNNNNNNNNNNNNNNNNNNNNNNNNNNNNNNNNNNNNNNNNNNNNNNNNNNNNNNUUUUUUUUUUUUAUUUCUUAUUUUUGUUCCAAAGUUGCUCUCACAAUAAAAAAAAAAAAGACCAGAAUAAAAGUAUAAACAAAUGAGUUUCUGUUCUUUUUUGGUUCUCUAGAACAAAAUAAUAAAAAUUUAUAUUUCGGGAAAAAAAAUAAUUUUAAAUGAACACACCCUAAGAUAUCUUUUGUAUUCCGGGGAAGUAGUUCAAUUGACGUGAGCCCGUGCGUCUUCCCUACAUGGGAAGGGUCGUCGCUGGGUCUCAUCUGACCUAAGCAAGCGCGUCUUCACAGCUAUUACCGCUCCCCUCCUACACUUCGUAGCUACCGCCACUCCCCUCCUAUAAAUCUCGGCUCGCCCGACGCCUUCGCCAUCGUCUCGGUGCAGUGCAGGGAACGAGCGAGCUCGAGCUAGACGACGGCAAUGGCGGCUUCGACGACGACGGUGAGGAGGAUCAAGCUGGGGUCGCAGGGCCUCGAGGUGUCGGCGCAGGGGCUGGGCUGCAUGAGCAUGUCCGCCUUCUACGGCCCUCCCAAGUCCGAGCCCGACAUGAUCGCCCUCAUCCACCACGCCGUCGGCUCCGGCGUCACCUUCCUCGACACCUCCGACGUCUACGGUCCUCACACCAACGAAAUCCUCCUCGGAAAGGUCGUUCUCUCAGUCUCUGUUUUGCGUCCGCAUGAAUUAUAUGUGCUUAUAGUGUUACGGAAUUUGGCUUCAUCGAGCAGAGUGCUCUGAUCCCGCGCCUUGGUUUUCUGAUUUCGGGGUUGAUUUUGAGCAGGCACUGAAGGGAGGGGUGAGGCAGAAGGUGGAAUUGGCGACCAAGUUCGGAAUCAGCUUCGCGGACGGGAAGAGGGAGGUCCGGGGCGAUCCGGCGUACGUGAGGGCGGCUUGCGAGGCCAGCUUGAAGCGGCUUGACAUCGAUUGCAUCGACCUCUACUACCAACAUCGCAUCGACACUCGCGUCCCCAUCGAAGUCACUGUAUGGAUCCCCCAUCAAACUUUCACCUCGCUUGAGACUUUCUCCGAGCCAUAUGAUUAGUUGCUAAGUUAGAUUGGUGUUGAUGAUGCAUCGUCAUGUUGUUACAAGUUUGUUGAAAUUUGUUAAAUGACACUUAAGUUCGGCUGAUAGCAGAGUUCAAGAUGCGGCACGUUGUUGUUCAAGGGGUUGUGGAAUUUAGUAGUUUAGUGGCUUGAGUUUUCGUUUUGUGGGCAUCUUUUACAAGUUAAGGGUCAACAAGCAUGAAAAUUAUUCAAAAUCUUCCUUUGAGAUGAAAGUGCUCCAGGGUUCAUCCAGAAUUUAUAUACGGGAAUCACAUAUAAAGUUGUUCCUGGACUUUAUGUGGAGACAUUUGAUUCUUAACAUAUUGUGAAAUAUGUCGAGUACUUGGAAUACUUAUUUUAUUUGCUCUCUUCUGUGAGAGAUUCAAGAAAUCUACCUCCGUUAACUCAAUACCUUGUGACUUUUUUGUCGCAUUGAGAUGCAUGAUAAUAGAGGGAUCUAGACGCAUAAAAAGCUAAUGACAUGCAUAAUUUUCUGGAUCUUAACAUGUAAGAUCUUGAUGUUGUUGUUCUGUCAUGUGAAUAUGCACAGAUCGGAGAGCUAAAGAAGCUCGUUGAAGAAGGUAAGAUAAAGUACAUCGGUUUAUCCGAGGCCUCUGCAUCAACAAUCAGAAGAGCACAUGCUGUUCAUCCCAUCACAGCAGUGCAAUUGGAGUGGUCGCUUUGGUCAAGAGAUGUGGAGGCAGAGAUCGUUCCAACGUGCAGGUAGGAUAUCACUCUGUUAAUUGUUUAUGCAGCAACAACAGCUUCCUUCUGACUCUGCUUUUCCUUUAAAAUGCUGACUAGGGAGCUUGGCAUUGGAAUUGUUGCCUACAGUCCUUUAGGACGAGGAUUCUUUUCUGUUGGCUCCAAGUUGGUGGAGAAUAUCUCUAAGGAUGACUUCAGACAGGUCUGUUCCUGCUUGUCAACAUAAUUAGAUGCUUACAUCAACUGUCAUUCUUAUUGAAGUGCUGGAAACCUGUUCUUGUGGUAUAAAGAAAAAGUAUCUGGAUGGGAUGAAUAAAACUUGGUGACACGAAUGCUUUGUGUUCUUAUAUGUCUUUAAUCCAGCACUUGCCAGACAUCCCACCUCUCUUGAUUCUAGAUAAAUGUAAAAUCACAAGUAAUGGCUUUAAUGAGCCUGAAAGAGGCAGUUUUCUGGAUUCUCGUGCUUUUGGGAAUGAAUACAUAUAGGUUUAUUUGUAAGUUGCUCUGUUUCCCAGCCUUCCCACCAUUUGCUAAUCACUAUCCUCUCCCCACUUUCCACCCACCCUUUUUCUCUCAUCUUUCUUCACAAGAUUAGCGAUAUUUCCUCAAAAUAGCUGACGCCAGUAGCGGGCUUUGGCCCUCCGUCCUUUUUCAUUCUCAUCUUUCUUCACAAGAUAAACUAUAUCUUGACACAACCAUUUCUUGAGUAAGGACUCCUAGCACCCUUCUUAUGAGAGUUUUGGAUCAAGUUCCCAUCUGACAUAAAGCCAAUUGAGUAUUACUCCCCGCCAUUAGCAUUUGACUAGCGAUAGUGCUGGGCAAGUGAAGUAGCUAUUUUUCUUUGUAGCUAAAAGAGCUCUGCGUCUGAUAACAUUCUUCUACACAUCAUCUACAUUUCUGAUAUUUAUUUUAUGUGUGACUAAUGGUAUCAUCACACAUACAAAACUUAGAUUGUCGAGUUUGUUUCUGUUUUCACAUCCUACAUCAAACCCAUCAGCCUUGUGUGGUAGUUUCUAGAUCACUUCGCUUGACGUUUCUAAUGCUUAUGAUUUGGGACAAGAUAUUUUAAUCAUGUCAAGAUAAUUUAUAACUGAUCAUGCUUUUCCAGAUACACAACGAUUGCGCACUUCUAAUGCUUAUUAUGUCAAGUAACAAGACAAUCCGAUGGCAUGCAAUGCAACCACUUUUGCACUCGUUGCUGUAGAAUCUAGCCUUAAAAGGAAAAUGAUAAUUGCUCAUAUGCUCUCUGCUGAGACAUUGCUCUAUGUUAUGCAGUAUCUACCAAGGUUCCGGCCAGAGAACUUGGCUCACAACACGAAGUUAUUUGACCGAGUGAAUGAAAUUGCGCAAAGAAAGGGAUGCACCACAUCGCAGUUAGCCCUGGCCUGGGUAUACCACCAGCGUGAUGAUGUUUGCCCAAUUCCCGGCACGACCAAGAUCGAGAAUUUCAACCAGAACACUGGAGCUAUGUCAGUGAAGCUUACACCGGAAGAGAUGGCCGAGCUUGAAUCGAUUGCUUCUGCGGACAAUGUCAAGGGUGGCAGGUACGAUGGAAGCAUGUCUACAUGGGAAAACUCCGACACUCCACCCCUUUCUUCUUGGAAACCUGCCUAGAAGCGUGUCUGCUUCUGUUGCUGCAUCUUUGAUGUGCAGAGUUUGAGCAUUUGCCGCUGAAGUAAUUUGAGUUUAUGUUAUGUGGCUGUUAUAAGUACGUGUAAUAAGAGAGUGACUGUUUUCAUUUUGUACAUGUGAUAUUCACUAU
rnacentral:lncRNA from 1 species